GAUGAACGCUGACCGAGUGCUUAACACAUGCAAGUUCACUGUGGCGGACGGGUGAGUAACGCGUAAAGAACUUGCCUCACAGAUAGGGACACCUUUUGGAAACGAAUGCCAAUUCCUGAUACUGUGAGAGACCUUUGCGUCCCAUUAGCGAGUUGGAGAGGUAACGGCUCACCAAGGCGAUGAUGGGUAGCCGGCCUGAGAGGGUGAUCGGCCACAGGGGGACUGGGGCGCGGCCCGUACGGCUACGGGAGGCAGGAGUGGAGAAUAGUGGACAAUAGACCAAAGUGUGAACCAGGAAUUCUGUGUGCACGAUGAAUUUUUCGGGAGGUAAGGGGUUUGCAGUAGGGAAGCAGUACCAACAGAAGAAGUGACGGCUAAAUACGUGCCAGCAGCCGCGGUAAUUC
rnacentral:rRNA from 1 species